rnacentral:rRNA from 1 species
UACGGAGGGUGCAAGCGUUAAUCGGAAUUACUGGGCGUAAAGCGUGCGCAGGCGGUUUGUUAAGUCUGUUGUGAAAUCCCCGAGCUCAACUUGGGAAUUGCAAUGGAUACUGGCAGGCUGGAGUAUGGUAGAGGAAGGUGGAAUUCCCGGUGUAGCAGUGAAAUGCGUAGAGAUCGGGAGGAACACCAGUGGCGAAGGCGGCCUUCUGGACCAAUACUGACGCUGAGGAGCGAAAGCGUGGGGAGCAAACAGG